rnacentral:rRNA from 1 species
UACGUAGGGCGCAAGCGUUGUCCGGAAUUAUUGGGCGUAAAGAGCUACGUAGGCGGUUUGUCGCGUCUGCUGUGAAAACCUAAGGCUCAACCUUGGGCUUGCAGUGGGUACGGGCAGACUAGAGUGCGGUAGGGGUGACUGGAAUUCCGUGGUGAUAGCGGUGAAAUGCGCAGAUAUCAGGAGGACACCGAUGGCGAAGGCAGGUCUCUGGGCCGACUACUGACGCUGAGAAGCGAAA